rnacentral:rRNA from 1 species
AUACGUAGGUGGCGAGCGUUGUCCGGAAUUACUGGGCGUAAAGGAUGCGUAGGUGGAUAUUUAAGUGGGAUGUGAAAUCCCCCGGGCUCAACCCGGGAACUGCAUUCCAAACUGGGCAUCUAGAGUGCAGGAGAGGAAAGCGGAAUUCCUAGUGUAGCGGUGAAAUGCGUAGAUAUUAGGAGGAACACCAGUGGCGAAGGCGGCUUUCUGGACUGUAACUGACACUGAGGCAUGAAAGCGUGGGUAGC